GGAUGCGACCAUACCAGCACUAAAGCACCGGAUCCCAUUAGAACUCCAAAGUUAAGCGUGCUUGGGCGAGAGUAGUACUAGGAUGGGUGACCUCCUGGGAAGUCCUCGUGUUGCAUUCC
rnacentral:rRNA from 16 species